GUGGUGUUGGGGAGGGGUGGAUUGUAAUUUACAGCUUUUAUCCAAAAACCAUUUCUUUUCUCCACCUACACUUCUUUCUUAAAGCCGUGUUUUACGGUACUUCACUCCUUUAGCUCACAGUCGUAAUUGUAAGCGAUACAUCUGAAAACUUUUGUUAAGACCUCCGAACGAACAUGGACAUGGCUCAACUGUUUUCAACAGAUUCAGACGAUCACGAGUUCCUUGAAUAUGUGGAGAACUGCCAACCAAGAACCUGCGCUGAGCAACAACAGCAGAGCUGUGAUCAUGGGAAUGAUGAGAGGGCCCUGACAGGUGCAGUGUGGAGCUGAUGUCGGCCCUGCAGAAGGGGUACAGAGUGAUGAAAGUAUUUGAGAUUUGGCACUUUCCUAAUAGAACAAAUGAGCUGUUUUCAGAAUACGUUAAAAUGUUUUUGAAAACCAAACAAGAGAGCUCAGGUUAUCCUUCCUGGGUGAUUGAUGAAACCACAAAAAAAGGAGUACAUUCAAAAAUAUAAAGAGA